AGCGAACGCUGGCGGCAGGCUUAACACAUGCAAGUCGAACGCCCCGCAAGGGGAGUGGCAGACGGGUGAGUAACACGUGGGAGCGUACCCUUUGGUUCGGAAUAACUUGGGGAAACUCAAGCUAAUACCGGAUAAGCCCUUAUGGGGAAAGGUUUACUGCCGAAGGAUCGGCCCGCGUCUGAUUAGCUAGUUGGUGAGGUAAUGGCUCACCAAGGCGACGAUCAGUAGCUGGUCUGAGAGGAUGAUCAGCCGCACUGGGACUGAGGCACGGCCCAGACUCCUACGGGAGGCAGCAGUGGGGAAUAUUGGACAAUGGGGGCAACCCUGAUCCAGCCAUGCCGCGUGAGUGAUGAAGGCCUUAGGGUUGUAAAGCUCUUUUACCCGGGACGAUAAUGACUGUACCGGGAGAAUAAGCCCCGGCUAACUUCGUGCCAGCAGCCGCGGUAA
rnacentral:rRNA from 1 species